rnacentral:rRNA from 1 species
CUUGGUCAUUUAGAGGAAGUAAAAGUCGUAACAAGGUCUCCGUUGGUGAACCAGCGGAGGGAUCAUUACCGAGUUUUCAACUCCCAAACCCCUGUGAACAUACCAUGUUGCUUCGGCGGAUCACCCCAAGCCCCUCGGGGCGCGGGGCCCGCCAGAGGACCCAAAACUCAACUGUAUUUUUUGUAUCAAAACGUAUUCUGAGUGGAAUUUUAAAUAAAUCAAAACUUUCAACAACGGAUCUCUUGGCUCUGGCAUCGAUGAAGAACGCAGCGAAAUGCGAUAAGUAAUGUGAAUUGCAGAAUUCAGUGAACCAUCGAAUCUUUGAACGCACAUUGCGCCCGCCAGUACUCUGGCGGGCAUGCCUGUUCGAGCGUCAUUACAACCCUCAAGCCCCCGGGCUUGGCGUUGGGGAUCGGCACAAGGCGGAGGGGCACCCCUAGGGAGCCCCCUCGGCCCGCCGUCCCCCAAAUUCAGUGGCGGUCACGUCGCGGCCUCCUAUGCGUAGUAGCAACACCUCGCACUGGAAGUCCCUCGCGUCCACGCCGUAAAACCCCCGACUUUUUAUCAAGUUGACCUCGAAUCAGGUAGGACUACCCGCUGAACUUAAGCAUAUCAAUAAGCGGAGGA